AGGUGGAGGAGUGGGGAAUCAAACCCAGUUCUCCAGAUUAGAAUCCACCUGCUCUUAACCACUACACCACGCUUGGCCCAGAACACAGAACAACCAUUUUUUUUUAUUUCCAAGUUGCUAAUCCGCAAGAGCAGAUAAGCCUGUUUGAAACCCGUGCCUUCAGCAUUGCAAAUUUAAACUGCAGGCAGGACAGGAGAUGUUAGUUUCCCCCACUUCCAGUUUCCUCAGCAAAUCAUGACUCUGACCCCUUGGGAACCUGCAAUCUUCAGAAGCACAGUUGCCCAUAGCAACCUGAAUCAGAGGAGAAGAAACUGGCGUAUCCCCAAUAGAGAUGGGGAAGUCCACCACCAUCACAGACAGUCUUCCUGACAGGCAACUAGUAGAUCAUCCGGAGUUUUUCCAGCUCCUGGUUGUAGCAUUGCCAGGUUCCCCAGUGGGGAGUAGGAUUGCCAGCUCCAGGUUGAGGAACUCCUAGAGAUUUGGGAGUAGAACCUGAGGAAGGACAGGGAUCUCUUGCCAUAUAAUCUGUCCACCCCCAAGCAUCCAUUUUAACCAGGGGAAUUGACUUCUGUAGUCUGGAGAUGAGUUGUAAUUGCUGGAGACCCCAGGUACCACCCGGAGGCUGACAUCUCUAUCUGGCUGUGUUUCCAGAAAGGCCCUCCAUUUUCUUAAUGUACCACUUGUGCCAAGGCGAUUGGUAAAAUGCACCACUGGCGGGUAGAGUGUGAGGCACGGGCUUGCUGCUCUAGAGUUUCUACUAAACAUUUUGUUCCUAGAAGUUCUAUCAGCUGCCCGUUGGCCUUUGGAAAACUGGCCCCACGCCAAACAAAUCUCCUUAAACCACACACCCAGUGAUGUGUCACCUUUUAAUACAGGUUGCCACCCCACAGCAGCAAGAGGACAUUUUCAAACCAGGGAAGAGGGUACUGAAGCCAAGCUUCAUUUGACACUGUCUCAAGGUUUG